rnacentral:lncRNA from 1 species
UGGGCUUGCGGUAUAAUGAGGUGGGCUUGCGGUAUACCUAGGUGGGCUUGCAGGAACUCGAGGUGGUCCUCCUUCAAGCAUAAGUUUCAUUUGUGAAGAGGAUUCAUCCACAGGCAUACCUGACCCGACCCCAACAAGGGAGCUUCUACGUGUACCCUCAGUAGACAGUAACAACUUGAAUGUCCAUCUCAGUACAUUCGGUGUGAAGACUCGAUAGAGGAGAAAGACAUCGUACCAGUUUGGAAACUUCACAUAUGCAUCUCCCCUACAAGCUCCUGCCACAAUCAUCUUUGCAAAUUCCUCUAGCGGUCCACCAUUUGCAGGUACCUACAGAUAAUCACCUUCUUCUAGCAUGAACUUUCCUC